rnacentral:rRNA from 1 species
CCUACGGGUGGCAGCAGUGGGGAAUAUUGGACAAUGGGGGGAACCCUGAUCCAGCGACGCCGCGUGAGUGAAGAAGUAUUUCGGUAUGUAAAGCUCUAUCAGCAGGGAAGAAAAUGACGGUACCUGACUACGAAGCCCCGGCUAACUACGUGCCAGCCGCCGCGGUAAUACGUAGGGGGCAAGCGUUAUCCGGAUUUACUGGGUGUAAAGGGAGCGUAGACGGUGCAGCAAGUCUGACGUGAAAGGUCGGGGCCCAACCCCGGGACUGCCUUUGAAACUGUUGAACUGGAGUGCAGGAGAGGUAAGCGGAAUUCCUAGUGUAGCGGUGAAAUGCGUAGAUAUUAGGAGGAACACCAGUGGCGAAGGCGGCUUACUGGACUGUAACUGACGUUGAGGCUCGAAAGCGUGGGGAGCAAACAGGAUUAGAUACCCGAGUAGUC